CCCCAAUUCCCAAAUUCCCAAUCCCGAAUUCCCGAAUUUCCCGCAGGGUUUGGACUCCGGCUCCCGGCCCCGGCGGCGCCGCGGGGGGAGGGACCCGGAACGGCACGAGAGGCUCAGGGCCCACAUCCGGCAGAGUUUGGAGCAGAAGGAGAAGGAGAAAAACGAGGAGGAGCCCCCCAAAAAAAAGAGGAAAA